UACGAAGGGUGCAAGCGUUACUCGGAAUUACUGGGCGUAAAGCGUGCGUAGGUGGUUUGUUAAGUCUGAUGUGAAAGCCCUGGGCUCAACCUGGGAAUUGCAUUGGAUGCUGGCAGGCUAGAGUGCGGUAGAGGAUGGCGGAAUUCCCGGUGUAGCAGUGAAAUGCGUAGAGAUCGGGAGGAACACCAGUGGCGAAGGCGACUACCUGCCUGUUCUUGACGCUGAGGCGCGAAAGCUAGGGGAGCAAACGGG
rnacentral:rRNA from 1 species